CAGCAGCCGCGGUAAUACGUAGGGUGCGAGCGUUAAUCGGAAUUACUGGGCGUAAAGCGUGCGCAGGCGGUUUUGUAAGACAGGUGUGAAAUCCCCGGGCUCAACCUGGGAACUGCGCUUGUGACUGCAAGGCUAGAGUAUGGCAGGGGGGGGUGGAAUUCCACGUGUAGCAGUGAAAUGCGUAGAGAUGUGGAGGAACACCAAUGGCGAAGGCAGCCCCCUGGGCCAAUACUGACGCUCAUGCACGAAGGCGUGGGUAGCAAGCAGGAUUAGAUACCCUGGUAGUCCACGCCCUAAACGAUGUCAACUAGGUGUUGGGUGGGUAAAACCAUUUAGUACCGGAGCUAACGCGUGAAGUUGACCGCCUGGGGAGUACGGCCGCAAGGUUAAAACUCAAAGGAAUUGACGG
rnacentral:rRNA from 1 species